rnacentral:lncRNA from 1 species
UUACAAAAGGAACACACAGGGAAAGGGAGAGUCCCACUGACCGGCACAGCGUCACAAGGCCCCCUGGCCCCGCACUGUGGCCCCUG